rnacentral:rRNA from 1 species
UAUAGAUGGAUCCGCGCUGCAUUAGCUAGUUGGUAAGGUAACGGCUUACCAAGGCAACGAUGCAUAGCCGACCUGAGAGGGUGAUCGGCCACACUGGAACUGAGACACGGUCCAGACUCCUACGGGAGGCAGCAGUAGGGAAUCUUCCGCAAUGGGCGAAAGCCUGACGGAGCAACGCCGCGUGAGUGAUGAAGGUCUUCGGAUCGUAAAACUCUGUUAUUAGGGAAGAAC